rnacentral:rRNA from 1 species
CAGUCGCCACGGUAAUACAGAGGGUGCGAGCUUUAAUCGGAUUUACUGGGCGUAAAGCGUGCGUAGGCGGCUUCUUAAGUCGGAUGUGAAAUCCCUGAGCUUAACUUAGGAAUUGCAUUCGAUACUGGGAAGCUAGAGUAUGGGAGAGGAUGGUAGAAUUCCAGGUGUAGCGGUGAAAUGCGUAGAGAUCUGGAGGAAUACCGAUGGCGAAGGCAGCCAUCUGGCCUAAUACUGACGCUGAGGUACGAAAGCAUGGGGAGCAAACAGGAUUAGAUACCCCCGUAGUCCCUGUCUCUUAUAC